rnacentral:rRNA from 1 species
UACGUAGGGUGCGAGCGUUAAUCGGAAUUACUGGGCGUAAAGCGUGCGCAGGCGGCGCGUUAAGACAGGUGUGAAAGCCCCGAGCUUAACUUGGGAAUUGCGCUUGUGACUGGCGAGCUGGAGUGUGGCAGAGGGAGGUGGAAUUCCACGUGUAGCAGUGAAAUGCGUAGAGAUGUGGAGGAAUACCGAUGGCGAAGGCAGCCCCCUGGGAUAACACUGACGCUCAUGCACGAAAGCGUGGGGAGCAAACAGG